GACGAACGCUGGCGGCGUGCCUAAUACAUGCAAGUAGAACGCUGAAGGAGGAGCUUGCUUCUCUGGAUGAGUUGCGAACGGGUGAGUAACGCGUAGGUAACCUGCCUGGUAGCGGGGGAUAACUAUUGGAAACGAUAGCUAAUACCGCAUAAUAGUAGAUGUUGCAUGACAUUUGCUUAAAAGGUGCAAUUGCAUCACUACCAGAUGGACCUGCGUUGUAUUAGCUAGUUGGUGGGGUAACGGCUCACCAAGGCGACGAUACAUAGCCGACCUGAGAGGGUGAUCGGUCACACUGGGACUGAGACACGGCCCAGACUCCUACGGGAGGCAGCAGUAGGGAAUCUUCGGCAAUGGACGGAAGUCUGACCGAGCAACGCCGCGGGAGUGAAGAAGGUUUUCGGAUCGUAAAGCUCUGUUGUAAGAGAAGAACGAGUGUGAGAGUGGAAAGUUCACACUGUGACGGUAUCUUACCAGAAAGGGACGGCUAACUACGUG
rnacentral:rRNA from 1 species